GACUGAGCCAACCAGGGACCCCACCUUUGAAGUCCUGAAGCUGAAAUGACUGCGAAGGAAGACUCUGUAACCAGCGAUGGGAGCAGCAAUGGAGGGCUGAGAGGAUUACACCGAUCCCAUAAUCUCACCUCUCUCCCCUUCUGAAGGAGGAAGAACAGAUUGCUACUGUUUUCCUCACUGGAUGGUAGGACGAAAUCCCCUCAUAACAGAGUACCUGGGCCGCCCAAUUGGUUAGACACUGAAGCAAAUGUUCAAAAGUCAAGGAUGGAAAAAAGAAG